rnacentral:rRNA from 1 species
AAAUUGAAGAGUUUGAUCAUGGCUCAGAUUGAACGCUGGCGGCAGGCCUAACACAUGCAAGUCGAACGGUAACAGGAAGCAGCUUGCUGCUUCGCUGACGAGUGGCGGACGGGUGAGUAAUGUCUGGGAAACUGCCUGAUGGAGGGGGAUAACUACUGGAAACGGUGGCUAAUACCGCAUAACGUCGCAAGACCAAAGAGGGGGACCUUCGGGCCUCUUGCCAUCAGAUGUGCCCAGAUGGGAUUAGCUUGUUGGUGAGGUAACGGCUCACCAAGGCGACGAUCCCUAGCUGGUCUGAGAGGAUGACCAGCCACACUGGAACUGAGACACGGUCCAGACUCCUACGGGAGGCAGCAGUGGGGAAUAUUGCACAAUGGGCGCAAGCCUGAUGCAGCCAUGCCGCGUGUAUGAAGAAGGCCUUCGGGUUGUAAAGUACUUUCAGCGGGGAGGAAGGUGUUGUGGUUAAUAACCGCAGCAAUUGACGUUACCCGCAGAAGAAGCACCGGCUAACUCCGUGCCAGCAGCCGCGGUAAUACGGAGGGUGCAAGCGUUAAUCGGAAUUACUGGGCGUAAAGCGCACGCAGGCGGUCUGUCAAGUCGGAUGUGAAAUCCCCGGGCUCAACCUGGGAACUGCAUUCGAAACUGGCAGGCUUGAGUCUUGUAGAGG